UGUAAGUGCACUUGUGUGUUUCUGUGUCCAACGUUUGAUCAUACGUUUUAUUCAAAAAAGAUUAUAAUCAUUAUUUGUUUUGUUAUUAGAUGAUAAAUGUUUUACGCGUGACUUAUGCUUUAAACCUUUUUAUAAAUUCUUUAAAUAAGACGGAUGCUCAAACAUUAGAUAUAAAAAUCCACAACUGUAUUUAAA
rfam:Oryza meridionalis cultivar OR44 (W2112) chromosome 1, whole genome shotgun sequence.